rnacentral:rRNA from 1 species
GAUGAACGCUGGCGGCGUGCCUAAUACAUGCAAGUCGAGCGAACAGACGAGGAGCUUGCUCCUCUGACGUUAGCGGCGGACGGGUGAGUAACACGUGGAUAACCUACCUAUCAGACUGGGAUAACUUCGGGAAACCGGAGCUAAUACCGGAUAAUAUAUUGAACCGCAUGGUUCAAUAGUGAAAGACGGUUUUGCUGUCACUUAUAGAUGGAUCCGCGCCGCAUUAGCUAGUUGGUAAGGUAACGGCUUACCAAGGCAACGAUGCGUAGCCGACCUGAGAGGGUGAUCGGCCACACUGGAACUGAGACACGGUCCAGACUCCUAAGGGAGGCAGCAGUAGGGAAUCUUCCGCAAUGGGCGAAAGCCUGACGGAGCAACGCCGAGUGAGUGAUGAAGGUCUUCGGAUCGUAAAACUCUGUUAUUAGGGAAGAACAAAUGUGUAAGUAACUAUGCACGUCUUGACGGUACCUAAUCAGAAAGCCACGGCUAACUACGUG